rnacentral:rRNA from 1 species
GAUGAACGCUGGCGGCGUGCCUAAUACAUGCAAGUCGAACGCAUUGUGGUUGAAAUGAUAUGAAGAACUUGUUCAGAUUUGAUUUUCAACAUUGCAAUGAGUGGCGAACGGGUGAGUAACACGUGGGAAACCUACCUCUUAGCAGGGGAUAACAUUUGGAACAAAUGCUAAUACCGUAUAAUAAUUAAAACCGCAUGGUUUUAGUUUAAAAGAUGGUCUUGCUAUCACUAAGAGAUGGUCCCGCGGUGUAUUAGUUAGUUGGUGAGGUAAUGGCUCACCAAGCAAUGAUACAUAGCCGAGUUGAGAGACUGACCGGCACAAUGGGA